rnacentral:tRNA from 1 species
UCGGGGCGUAGCGCAGCCAGGUAGCGCACCUGCCUUGGGCGCAGGGGGUCCCCAGUUCAAAUCUGGGCGCCCCGAG